CCUACGGGAGGCUGCAGUGAGGAAUAUUGGUCAAUGGCCGGAAGGCUGCACCAGCCAUGCCGCGUGAAGGUCAGUGCCCUAUGGGCGUUAAACUUCUUUUGUGCUGGAGCAAUAAUGGUCAAGUGUGGCCCGACGAGAGUACCGUACGAAUAAGCAUCGGCUAACUCCGUGCCAGCAGCCGCGGUAAUACGGGGGAUGCAAGCGUUAUCCGGAUUUAUUUGGUUUAAAGGGAGCGUAGAUGGGUUGUUAAGUCAGUUGUGAAAGUUUGCGGCUCAACCGUAAAAUUGCAAUUGAUACUGGCAGUCGUGAGUACAGUUGAGGUAGGCGGAAUUCGUGGUGUAGCGGUGAAAUGCUUAGAUAUCACGAAGAACUCCGAUUGCGAAGGCAGCUUACUAAACUGCCACUGACAUUGAUGCUCGAAAGUGUGGGUAUCAAACAGGAUUAGAUACCCGUGUAGUC
rnacentral:rRNA from 1 species